GGUUCUAACCUCCUUCUUUAUGUUUCUCUUUUCCUCGUGGGCUUCCCUUACUUAUAUAAAGGGCAGGCACUGCUACACAGACAGGCAGGAAAAUGUCCACAGUGUCUGCUGGAGGAGGUGAUCCAAGUAUCUGCAUAUGGUAGAUUACCAUGUGAACAAUGGAGAAGAGAGGAAACAACUACUGCUAAAGAUAUUAGAAAGGCUUCCGGGUUUCCUCAUUUGAGCUCAGCCUUUAGGAUGGAAAGUGAGUUUUGUUGGAGGAGGUCAUGCAAGUAAGCAUUCCAGGAAGAACAUUACCAGCGUGCAAAAGGUGCACAGAAGGGAGAAAGGAAAACUAUGCUUAUAAAAUGAUGAUGGACUCACAAUGGAUUUGUUUAGUGGAGUAGGGGAGAUAAGAACAAAAAAUGGCUUAGCAUCACAUUGUGGAAAUUUUUGAAUGGUCAACUGGAAGAGUCUAGACUCUUUUCAGAAUCUUUUGCUUUUUAGUAUAGUACUUGGAAUACUUUGCCUCCUUGAAUUACAUGCUUACCUCUCCUGAAUGGCACAGAUGGUCUUUUUUUGUGCUACAUCAUUUAACACAGUGCCUUGCCUAGUGAUGGUGCCAAAACAGUUGUUGAUUUCUAUUGAAAGUGCUGACUAGGUAAUAAGAAGUCAUUACUACCUCUAACUAUGUAAGAGAAACCAGAACCUACAACAGUUUCUAUUGCCUUUUCACCAUCCCUCCUUUCUCUACUUUUCAGGCUUAAAUUUUGUGAUUCAUGUGUAUAAUCACUCACUUACCUACACCCUCAACUCUCUGGUCCUCACUCACCUAGCUAAACCCCAACCCUGGUUUAACCCAACUCUAACCUGCUGAUUAACAUCUCAGUGCUUAUAUGAGAGGAGGCAGAAGACAGUGGCUUUGCCUAAAAAAACAGGUUAGGGCUUGGGCACUAACUCAUUCAACACCCACUGGGGUUCAACCUGAGCAGCAGACACACAAAUUUCUCUAGUCUUAUGGUAAACAGUUAUUCAUCCAUUCAAGCACCUUUACAAAAAACACACAAACAAGCUCCUAGACGUAAAGAGCUACUAAGUCAUCAUACCUGUGUAUACCAGAAAAAGCUGGACAAGUUGAAGAUAAUAGACUCUUCUUGGAACCAUCAGAGACUGAGGUCACAAGGCAAACCUCUACCCUGAGCUCUGGAGAGACAGAUGCAUCCACAGAGCUAUUGCUCCUGAGAUCUACUUACCUGGAAUAAAAGCCAUUAGAAUCAGUAAGCUGGCGGGAACACUUAAAUUAUUACUUUGGUGAAUUGCAGGAGGCUGAGUGCAGACUUGUAUGAGAGUGAGAAACUCUGGUGAGGGCCUGCAGCCAUGAGAGGGGCUCGACACUUACAUGGACUGUCACUCCAGAAACCCCACUAGGUUCCCAUGGGGAUAAUCUGAGAACGAGCCCCUUCUGGUCAAGAUAGGAGAAGAGAAGAAUAGGCAUCUUAAAACCUGCCCAGACUAUCAUUCCUAGCAAAGGCUUAGUCCCCAGGGAGAAAGAACACCUGGCCUGCAGAGGAACAGGGUUACAGUGAACCUCUCAUCAGAAACCAUGCAAGCAAGAAGAAAGUGCAGCAAAACCCUUAAAGUGCUAAAAGAAAUUGCCAAUCUAAAAUUUUAUAUCCAGAGAAAUUAUCCUCUAGAAAAGGAGGAGAAAUAAACACUUUCUCAGACAAAAACUGAGGGAAUUCAUUAUCAGCAUGAAGUGUUAAAGUUCUUCAGGCAGAAAGAAAAUUAUUUAGGUCAGAAACCUUGAUCUACGUAAAGAAAGGAACACCAUCAAAGGCUAAACAAAGAUAAUACACAAUUGUUUAAAAUUCUUAAUUGUUGUAAAAGAAAACUUGAAAAUAGUAAUUAACAGUGUAUUGUAUGCUGGGACUUCCCAGCCUCCAGAACUGCAAGCUAUUAGAUAUUAAAAAAUAUCUAAUAUGGAUAAGUGAAAUAAAUGAUAGUAAUGUCACAAGGGAUGGGAAAAAGAAGUUGGGAGUGCUGUAUUAUGAGGUACCUAUACUAGAUAUGAAGUGGUACAGUAUUAUUUGAAUGCGGGCUUAGGUUAUUUUUAAGUGCAGAUUGUAAAAACUCUAAAACAACCACUAAAAAGGUUUUAAUAGUAUAAAUGAUACUCCAGGAUAAUGGAAUCAGAUAAAAUAAUUAAAACAAGAGAAUGCAGAAGGAAGGAGUGAAAAGAAACAAAACACAAAGGAAAACAAAAAUAGUUAUGAAGAUGGUAGCUUUUCAUCCAACUAUAUCCAUAAUCACUUUAAAUAUGAUGUAAAUACUCCAGUUAAAAGUCAGAGACAAUCAAGUUGAAUUAAAUUUAAAAAAGAAAAAAGCAAGACCUAACCAUAUUAUAAAAACCACUUUAGAUAUAAAGGCCCAGGUAGAAAGUGAGGGGAUGUACUACUAACAUAAGGAUAAAUAUAUGGGUCAAUGGAAUAUAAUUGAGAGUCCAGAAAUAAACCCUCAUAUUUAUGGUCAAUCAGUUUUCAAAAAGAGCGUUAACACAAUUCAGUGGGGAAAAUUGGCUUUUUAAUAAGUGGUACGUACUUGGGCAACUGGAUAUACACAUGCUAAAGAAUGAUUUGGACCCCUACUUCAAAUCAUACACACAAAAAAACUGAAAAUGGAUCAUAGACCUAACCUCAAGAGCUAAAUUGCAUAAAAUUUCUAGAAGAACAUAUUGGAGAAAUCUUUGUGACAUCGGGUUAAGCACUGGUUGUCUGGAUACAACACAAAAUAUGCACACACACAGAAAAAAUAGGUAAGUUGACUUCACCAAAAUUUAAAACUUUUGUGCUUUAAAGGACAUCAUCAAAAAAGUAAAAAGACAACCCACAGAGUGUGAGAAAAUAUUUGAAAAUCAUAUAUCUGAUAAGGGGCUGGUAUUCAGACUAUAUAAAUAAAUCUUACAACUCAACAACAAAAAGAUAAAUAACUAAUCAAAAGUGGGCAAAGCCUUUGAAUAGACAUUUCUCCAAAGAAGAAAUACAAAUGGCCAACAAACAAAGGAAAAGACACUCAACAUCAUAAGUCACUAGGGAAAUACAAAUGAAAACUACAAUGAUUGCUGUCAGGCCUCUGAGCCCAAGCCAAGCCAUCGCAUCCCCUGUGACUUGCACGUAUACAUCCAGAUGGCCUGAAGUAACCGAAGAUCCACAAAAGAAGUAAAAAUAGCCUUAACUGAUGACAUUCCACCAUUGUGAUUUGUUUCUGCCCCACCCUAACUGAUCAAUGUACUUUGUCAUCUCCCCCACCCUUAAGAAGGUUCUUUGUAAUUCUCCCCACCCUUGAGAAUGUACUUUGUGAGAUUCACCCCUGCCCGCAAAACAUUGCUCUUAACUUCACCGCCUAUCCCAAAACCUAUAAGAACUAAUGAUAAUCCACCACCCUUCACUGACUUUCUUUUUGGACUCAGCCUGCAUGCACCCAGGUGAAAUAAACAGCCAUGUUUCUCACA